rnacentral:rRNA from 1 species
CCUACGGGUGGCAGCAGUAGGGAAUUUUGCUCAAUGGGGGAAACCCUGACGCAGCAACGCCGCGUGAUCGAUGAAGCCCUUCGGGGUGUAAAGAUCUUUCAGUGGGGACGAAACCUGACGGUACCCACAGAUGAAGCACCGGCUAACUCCGUGCCAGCAGCCCCGGUAAUACGGGGGGUGCAAGCGUUGUCCGGAAUCAUUGGGCGUAAAGGGGGCGUGGGGGGCACGUUAAGUCUGGGGUUAAAGGCGGAGGCUCAACCUCCGUAGGGCAGUGGAAACGGGUUAGCUAGAGUGUGGUAGAGGUAGGUGUAAUUCUGGGUGUAGCGGUGAAAUGCGUAGAUAUCAAGAGGAACAGCGAUGGCGAAGGC